rnacentral:rRNA from 1 species
UACGUAGGGGGCAAGCGUUGUCCGGAAUUAUUGGGCGUAAAGCGCGUGUAGGCGGUCCGGUAAGUCGGGUGUGAAAGCCCCGGGCUCAACCUGGGAAUUGCAUUCGAGACUGAAUAGCUAGGGUACGGUAGAGGGAAGUGGAAUUUCCGGUGUAGCGGUGAAAUGCGUAGAUAUCGGAAGGAACAUCAGUGGCGAAAGCGACUUCCUGGACCAGUACCGACGUCAGGCACGAAAGCGUGGGGAGCAAACAGG